rnacentral:rRNA from 1 species
UAAAACUUAUAGAAUUAGGUAGUAAAGAAUUUUCCGAAACCUAAAGAAUUUGGCGGUAUUUUAAAUAAUUGGAGGAACCUGUUAUUAAAUUGACAAUCCACAACAUAUCUUACCUAAAUUUUAUUUGUAUAUCGUCGUUUCGAUAAUAUUUAAAAAUAAUAAUCAAUCUCAAUUAAUUUUUAAAAAUCAGAUCAAGGUGCAGUAUAUUUAGGAAAUAAUGGGUUACAAUAUAAAAAUAUAUUAUGGAUAUAAAAUUGAAAUUAUAUUGAAAGUGGAUUCAAAAGUAAUGUUAAAUUAAAAUAUUAACUUGAUUUAUAAUUUAAAAUAUGC